rnacentral:lncRNA from 10 species
GGGUCCCGCCCCGUGCCUGACGUCGGGGGCGAGCCGGGCCUGCGCGGUAGUGGGACCCGACCCUGUCUCCAGUGGGCGUCUUGGGCCCCGGCUCUAUUCUGGGCUGCGGGCCUGGGAAGGGCUCGCCGGGUGCCAAAUGAGCUGUCCUAACUCUGCGGGGCUGCAGCUUCCUGCAUGAUGCUGGGGAGCUUGGCGCCUGACCCAGGAUCUAGAAGGCACUCUGGGCAGGCCGCGCUCCGCCCACGAAGGUUUAACCACCAAGGACUCUGAGAGCUGGCAGGUCUGAGUAACCCUGGUAACAAUUCUCUUCACCUUAUCAAAACCUGAGCUAAAACCAAUGCAUCAGCUGAUGAUGACAGCAGAGAGUGGCAGGGCUGAGGACCCAAAGUCAUUUCCCAGGCUGGCGGAGAAUAAACUGCCAGGGAGAAGAAUGAGAAGACAGGAGACAAACUGUUUGGAAAGCUAAAUCUUCCCUCUUAAUGAAUAAAGGUUUUUGCCUUGUCUUAAAGUUUCUGAGUCCUAAUUUUGGCAAAAUAAAUAACUUAUGGUAAUCUGGAAUUGUAUUUUGUAAUAUUAAGUGUUUUGAACCUCUAACAUUUACUUCCCAAAAUCAAACUUCAGUUUCAAAAUUGUCUCUCUUGACCCCUAGCUUUUGGAUGCUACAGAAGGCCCCUGAAGCAUCCAGAAGAGAGGUAAACAGGAUUAUUUAACAUGUUUAGGUACAUGGGAUUGGCCAAAUGGUGUUUAAUGAUCUUCAGGUUAUAUUUUAGUGAAUAAUAUUAAUAUAUUUUCCAAAAUUGUAUGGGAUUUCUAAAAUUCUAAUGUCUGAGUAUAUGCUAGAAAUCAUAAUUAAGGUUAUUAUGUUAAGUUAUUGUAAAACACAGAAAUAAUAAAAUUUGUCAGUCAUGUUCUUGACUAACUACCUUGGACAUUUCACCAUUCAAAAUCGUCUUGUUUUAAUCCUCUUUAAAGGAUGGUUUAUAAUCAGCUAUAGGACUUUGACACAUGCUCUCAAAUGCAAGUUUCUGAUAACUUUGGAGAUUAUGACAUUGGAAUAAAGGAAAAAUGUACAGGACUCAUGAAGAGCUAAAAUAUUCAUGAAUAUCAAGCAAAACAAGAGUUAACAAAAUGGACUUUUUAACCUUUUUGCUUAAAAUGUUGCUGAUCCUUAUUUUGUUUUUCAGAGUCAAGGAAACUUAUUUUAAGCUAUUUAUAGCCUCUAAUAAUUAUGUAAGGUAUACUUCUGUAAAUAAAAU